rnacentral:rRNA from 1 species
UAGCGAAGGGGGCUAGCGUUGCUACGGAAUCACUGGGCGUAAAGGGCGCGUAGGCGGACUUUUAAGUCAGGGGUGAAAUCCUGAGGCUCAACCUCAGAACUGCCUUUGAUAACUGAGGGUCUCGGAGACCGGGUAGAGGUAAGUGGAACUGCGAGUGUAGAGGUGAAAUUCGUAGAUAUUCGCAAGAACACCAGUGGCGAAGGCGGCUUACUGGACCGGUUCUGACGCUGAGG